GAUGAACGCUGGCGGCGUGCCUAAUACAUGCAAGUCGAGCGAAUGGACUAAGAGCUUGCUCUUAUGAAGUUAGCGGCGGACGGGUGAGUAACACGUGGGUAACCUGCCCAUAAGACUGGGAUAACUCCGGGAAACCGGGGCUAAUACCGGAUAACAUUUUGAACCGCAUGGUUCGAAAUUGAAAGGCGGCUUAGGCUGUCACUUAUGGAUGGACCCGCGUCGCAUUAGCUAGUUGGUGAGGUAACGGCUCACCAAGGCAACGAUGCGUAGCCGACCUGAGAGGGUGAUCGGCCACUCUGGGACUGAGACACGGCCCAGACUCCUACGGGAGGCAGCAGUAGGGAAUCUUCCGCAAUGGACGAAAGUCUGACGGAGCAACGCCGCGUGAGUGAUGAAGGCUUUCGGGUCGUAAAACUCUGUUGUUAGGGAAGAACAAGUGCUAGUUGAAUAAGCUGACACCUUGACGGUACCUAACCAGAAAGCCACGGCUAACUACGUGCCAGCAGCCGCUGUAA
rnacentral:rRNA from 1 species